rnacentral:rRNA from 1 species
AUUGAACGCUGGCGGCAUGCCUUACACAUGCAAGUCGAACGGUAACAGGUUAAGCUGACGAGUGGCGAACGGGUGAGUCAUGUAUCGGAACGUGCCCAGUCGUGGGCGAUAACUGCUCGAAAGAGCAGCUAAUACCGCAUACGACCUGAGGGUGAAAGCGGGGGAUCGCAAGACCUCGCGCGAUUGGAGCGGCCGGUAUCAGAUUAGGUAGUUGGUGAGGUAAAGGCUCACCCAGCCGACGAUCUGUAUCUGGUCUGAGAGGACGACCAGCCACACUGGGAGUGAGACACGGCCCAGACUCCUGAGGGAGGCAGCAGUGGGGAAUGUUGGGCAAUGGGCGCAAGCCUGAUCCAGCCAUGCCGCGUGCGGGAAGAAGGCGUUCGGGUUGUAAACCGCUUUUGUCAGGGAAGAAAAGGUUCUGGCUAAUACCUGGGAUUCAUGACGGUACCUGAAGAAGAAGCACCGGCUAACUACGUG